rnacentral:rRNA from 1 species
CCUACGGGGGGCAGCAGUGGGGAAUUUUGGACAAUGGGGGAAACCCUGAUCCAGCCAUGCCGCGUGAGGGAAGAAGGCCUUCGGGUUGUAAACCUCUUUCGGCCGGGACGAAAUCGGGCGGGUGAAUAACCCGCCUGGAUGACGGUACCGGAAGAAGAAGCACCGGCUAACUACGUGCCAGCAGCCGCGGUAAUACGUAGGGUGCGAGCGUUAAUCGGAAUUACUGGGCGUAAAGCGUGCGCAGGCGGUUCGCCAAGCCAGACGUGAAAGCCCCGGGCUUAACCUGGGAAUGGCGUUUGGGACUGGCGGGCUGGAGUGCGGCAGAGGGGGGUGGAAUUCCACGUGUAGCAGUGAAAUGCGUAGAGAUGUGGAGGAACACCGAUGGCGAAGGCAGCCCCCUGGGCCAGCACUGACGCUCAGGCACGAAAGCGUGGGGAGCA